CCUGCCCCUAGAGGCAUUGUGGAUGUGGUGGCUGUGUCAUCUGUGUGUCAGUGGGUGGCAGAGAGGAGAGAGACUAUGCUAAACUCAGUGUUCUGGCCUGUGAACAUCUGAUAGUAGCCUGACAUU
rnacentral:snoRNA from 1 species